UGCCUCUGCCUCCCAAAUUCUGGGAUUACAGGCAUGUGCCACCACUACCCAGCAUCACAAUUUAAUUCUUUAUAGCCGAAUCAAAGACUCUUAUGUAUGUGAUUUCCUUUUUCUGCUGAUUUGUUGAUGGGUAUCUAAGGCAUUUCUGUUUGACUAUUAUGAAUAGGGUGGCAGCAGACAUGUAUGUCCACAUGUAUACUCUGUGGUAGUAUUUGCAUAACUUCUUUGGGGGAGAAUAUUAUCACAUACUUAUCAAGUAUCUCAGUCCAUUUGUGAUAGGAUGGAAACUUUCCUAUUACCUAAGAAUUGGACCCAAGAUUCCUUAGAGGCCACAGAAGUGUCUUUGAAUUGGUACCAUCAUCUUUCCAUUUACACUAGAAGUCUGGGGUCAAGAGAACACAAGACAAUCAGAAGUUGUCAGCCUGUUGGAGAAGGAAAAUAAAGAGGAUUAGCCAGUUUCUUCUAAAAAUUACCAAUAACUGACUAGAAGAAAAGGCUACCAUUCUGUUUUCUGGGAGACAUCUAUAACAGGAGAAAAAUUCUUUCUACUUUCUGUCACACACCCAUGUGUCUUUCAAGUGAUGUGCAAAACACCUUUUUUUUGCUAUAUAGCUUUCCCACCCUUGAAAGUUGGUGUAUCUGUCUUCCUAUGGUUUGGGUAUGGUUUGUACUCCUAUGUUAGAAGCUUGAUCCCAGUGUAGUGAUGUUGAGAGGUUGUAGGCUCCUUAAGAAGUAAACACAGUUGGUUGUAUUGGGGAUACUGACCUUGGAAAGAACCACGUAAUUCUGGGACCUCAGUUAGUUUUUAUUGGAAGGUUGUUAGAAACAAGAAAUCCUGGCUACUUCUUGUUAUCUGAUCUCAAUGGUGAUGACAUCUGUCCACCAUGGUAUUUCAGGCAGUUGAGAAAAGCCAUUGCCAGAACUGACAUCUGACUGUUGUUUGCACUGACAUGCUGCUUGGACUUUCAGCCUUCAAAACUGCAGACAUGGCGGAUCUAUAUCUGGAGCUGAAGGCAGUAAGAAGAGAGAGAGACACUGGACCUGGCUUUAGCUUCGGAAACCUCAAAGCCCAUGCCCUGCGACACACUUCCUCCUACAAGGCCACUCCCUAUGACCUAUGGGGGCUGUUUUCAUUCAAACCAUCACACUGGGUAUGGUGUUAUUCAUUGAAACAUGGGUUUCUUACGAAAGCUCACACCACUGAAGAAAAGUGAUCCCUUCUCUCAUAGCAGCCCUUACCAGCUGCUAAUGGUUUCUCAACGAAGGGUAGAGCCUUAUGAGCCCUUCCCCCAUCUUUGCUGAAACGUCCGUGGGCUCCAUCUUGUACAGGUCUUGUGCAGUCACAUAAGCAUCGAAUUUUCUCCUACCAAUAUUCCAUUCUGAACAAGAAGACUUACCACAUAUCAGAGACACAGAUGUGUCUGGCAACUUGAAUAUGAUUCCAUGGAAAGCAAAGGAAUACAUUACCAUGUUAUAUUUGGAAUGAAAGGUAUACCCUGCUGAAUAAUUGCGACAACACUGAGAGAGUAAAACCAAGUGUGCUGGCAACUACCUCCAAGCAAGAACUUCUACAUUAUUCCAUGCGGGAAGCACUCUAUGCAGGGCGUGUCACAGGCCAGGGCAGAAACCAAAAGCUAUUCCUCUGUGGCUUCAAGAUAAAAUCCCACUGAGAGUCAGCAUUGAACAUGCAGAUAGAAGCUGAAUGUGAGAGACGUUAUCCAGUUUUCCUCAUAUGAAGCAGGGCAAGACUGUGAAAAGGUCUGUGUAUUACUGAACAAAACCACGGUUCACCUCCGAGGAGUACUCAGUAAGAGGAAAUCCAGUCUCAAAUGAAAACCCGACUGCCUGGGAGUCAUCCUAGAAGAAUUCGAUGUUUUGAACAAGAGAUGGAUGAUAGAUUUUAAUCUCUAUUUUGACUCAUUUUGUCUUGAUUUGAAACCCCCAGAUCUCAGAAGAGUUAAGGAAAUCAACACUCCUGUGUCAUACUAUUGAAGAAUUCUCUCUCUCUCUCUCUCAUGAUCUAACUGCUUUUCUCUGAACCACUCAAUUAGAAGGAAAACUACUGGAAUUCUACCUAGAGUCUUGAUAUUCCGGUGAUGGCCCCUGCCACUCUGAUUAUAAACCAGGAGGCUUCUUUGAGCGUGCCAGCUUUCAAUUAUUUAAAUGGGUAGUUCAACCAACCGUUUUUCAUUCAAAAUGCAACAAAAGUUAGAAUUGCGUGCUGACUCGUAUCCAGAUGCUGUCUUCUUUGGGCCUGGCCAGCUGAUGCUGCUGUUAGUUUCCUGAUGUGUCAGAAACACAUUUGUACUUCAUGGCAAUCUAUAAUAAAGUCUACAACGAAUGUA